UAGUGGCGCGUGGCCGGUCUUAGUUGGUGGAGUGAUUUGUCUGGUUACUUUUCGCUCCCGAACAACACCUUAACCUGCUAAAUUAUGAUAUGUAACCUCGGUUGCAUGGGCAACUUCUUAGAAUUUGUGUGUCUAACGAACGGAAUUUUGAAGCAAGAACAGGUCUGUGAUGCCUU
rnacentral:ncRNA from 1 species